ensembl:lncRNA
CGUGGCGCAGGGGAUGGGAAGCCACGUCCGCGAUAGGACACGGGCGGUUGGGACCUCCCUCUCUGCUAGCGGACUCUCCCUCGCCGCCUUUGACGACGCAAGUGGCCGUGGGGGAGCAGAAGCACGUGGCACUGAACGGAGGGCAGCCGCUCCCGGCAGCAGGUCCCGCAACCCACGAGAAACGGACGCUGCCGCCACCAUCAGAGCCCGGGCGCGGGCCCCGCACCAGAGGAGCCUUAGGAUGAGACCGCAGCCCGGCGUCUUCCGAGUGACCUCGUUCCAGCCACAUCCUGGUUGCUGACCCACAGAAACGAAGUACACGCUUGCCGGUUGAAGUUUACGGCAAUCCAUGAAGCAAGAACGUAACCGUGCGGCAAGGGAUUGCCUUUAUUCCACAGGUGAGGACAGUGAGGUUCAGAGAAGUGCACUCACUUGCCUCGGGGCACACAGCUGGGGAGCAGGUAGGAAACAGGGCAAAGGCUGCCGCUCGGAGCUACCGCCCCCUGUGCGCGUGCACCGGUUUCCGCCAAGGGUCCCUGUCCUUGGUGGAGGGCUUGCCUCUGAGCUUCCUGCUCUACCCAGCGGCACGGAGGGGGGGAGCCGCAGGAGAGCAGGGUUUGUAAAACAGCGUCUAGCCGUCAGCACGGAUCGGAAGAAACUGAAAAGGCCUUUUCUGGUCCAGAGUAGGGGGCGAAUGGGGGUGCAGUCCCCCCAACUGAGGAAAUUGGGUCCUGAAUUUUAGGACCUUUGGAAAGUCCGCCUUUGGAAAGGGGGAGUGUGAGCAUCUCGCUGUCUAGGUAAGUUGAGGACACUCCCAAGUCCCCCCCCUCCCCCGGUGGCCCUGCUUUGUUUCCCUAUUGUCUACCUGCCCUUAUUAAGCCAGAAUAGGUAACUCCAGAUAAAGAAUGCGCACAAGUCACUGCUCAUCAAGAAGAGGGCGGGGGUUUUGUUGCCCAGGACCUGGGGACAAGGCACUGCGCCCACUUGAAUGCCCAGGUAUUUUCAUAGAUGGUUGAAGCCAAUUACCAACUGGAGCCACGCUAGACCCAAGGACACAGUGGAAGCAGAACAAAAUCCCAGCAUGAGAGCUUACAGCUCAGGGGAAACCAGCGAACGCCGGGUAACAAGCAUCCCUGAACUCAACAGCUCCAAACGAUGCUGAUUUCUCAUUAUGUGGUGGAUCCAGCCUUCAGGCAGGGCUCAGCUGGGCGGUUCUCCUGCCCCCAUCUGGGCAGCAGGAUUCCCUCUUGUGCUUGUAUCUGCCGGCUGGUUCGAACGGAACGCCCACGUGGCCUCUCAUCACGGAGUCCUCACGGCGCCACGGCUGGGCUUUGGGAAGGGAAGGCAGUGGCCACAGUCCACCGGAGGGCUCAGAAGCCCCGGAACAGCACCUCCCUCACACUCUGUUGCCUAAGGAAGGUCCCAGGGCCAGUCCACAAGGAGGAAGAGAGAAAAGAGAGCCCCGCCUCUCGCUGUGAGGAGUGACACGUGCACACAGGGAAGGGAGGAAUGGGGGUGGCUGGGUUUUGAGACCAUCUUUCCUGACGCAAUUUCCGAGAGCAGUUCCCUCAGAUCGUUUUGUUUUCCUUCUCUGCCGUGUGUAACAUCCCGUGCUGAGGGCGAGCGGCACAGCUGAGGCAUGGGGACGCUUUCGCGCAGUGAUGGGAAGGGAGGCCUCGAGAGGAUACAUAGACUGGUGCUUGUAGGAUUAUCUGAUCCUCAAGGAUUCAGCGAUGAACGCG